AGCGAACGCUGGCGGCAGGCUUAACACAUGCAAGUCGAGCGGGCAUCUUCGGAUGUCAGCGGCAGACGGGUGAGUAACACGUGGGAACGUACCCUUCGGUUCGGAACAACUCUGGGAAACUGGAGCUAAUACCGGAUACGCCCUUAUGGGGAAAGGUUUACUGCCGAAGGAUCGGCCCGCGUCUGAUUAGCUAGUUGGUGGGGUAACGGCCUACCAAGGCGACGAUCAGUAGCUGGUCUGAGAGGAUGAUCAGCCACACUGGGACUGAGACACGGCCCAGACUCCUACGGGAGGCAGCAGUGGGGAAUAUUGGACAAUGGGCGCAAGCCUGAUCCAGCCAUGCCGCGUGAGUGACGAAGGCCUUAGGGUUGUAAAGCUCUUUUGUCCGGGACGAUAAUGACGGUACCGGAAGAAUAAGCCCCGGCUAACUUC
rnacentral:rRNA from 1 species